rnacentral:rRNA from 1 species
CGCGUAGGCGGCUCUGCACGUCCGUUGUGAAAUCGCCCGGCUCAACUGGGCGGGGUCAGCGGAUACGGCAGAGCUUGAGCAAGCUAGGGGGCAAUGGAAUUCCCGGUGUAGUGGUGGAAUGCGUAGAUAUCGGGAGGAACACCAGUGGCGAAGGCGGUUGCCUGGGGCUUUGCUGACGCUGAGGCGCGAAAGCGUGGGGAGCGAUCCGGAUUAGAUACCCGGGUAGUCCACGCCGUAAACGAUGUCGACUAGGUGUCGGGGGUAUCGACCCCCUCGGCGCCGCAGCUAACGCAUUAAGUCGACCGCCUGGGGACUACGGCCGCAAGGCUAAA